GAGAGUAGAGAGGGGUGGGGAGUCCACGAGGAGAGGAGAAGCAGGCAGGGAGGUGAUUCUACUCAUAGACAAUCCUUCACCCAAACAGCAGAUACUUUUUUUUGAGGGCAACACAGAUUUUUAAGAGUCCACCCAUUCUGCCACCAUGCUGCACCCUUUAAUUAUCGCCAUCAUGACCGUCAACACCUCCCUAACCGUCGUCUACUGGGCCUUCAUCUUGAGCGAUGUCUACUCCAAGUGGCUAAUAGAGCCAGAAGACAAACCCAAAAGGGUGGUCACUCCAGCCUGAGGCAGUCGGAAUGGAUAUGGAUCUAGCUGACUGAAUGACUGGGGGUUAUUUCGCUUAGGACUAGUCUGCAAGAGCAGUUCAGCUUCUAGUGCUUCCUGUGGGGUCUUAUUUACAUUCACUCUGCUUUCUGUUUUUCUUUCGUUUUUUUACUCGGAGAAGACUUGGAAAUCUACUUGAACUUUAAUAAAAUACUAAUCUACAUGAAUCCUGCAAGUAAAUGAAGAAGAAGUCCGUCUUACAGAGCUGUCUCCAUACAAUACACACCAGUUUGGAAGUCCUUUCAUUCAGUAGAGAAGAGCUACAGAGAGAUUUCAUGUUUUGACUUCAGACUGGAUGUUCGGGCCCAAACCAGUGGAGGAUGACUCAGAGGGAGGACGAGGGGAAAUAGAGGAAGAGCGGCGCCUCAGCAAUCCCACUAAGCAGCUGGAGAAUGACAAGCUGAGGAUGGAGAGAGAAAAGGACGGACCGCUGCCGGGUUUCCACCAAGGCCGUCCGUUCACUCCUCCUCCUCUGAGAAGCGCCAUUGCUCCAUCAUGCCCUGGAGAAAAAAGAAUAUCCAUCCAUAGCGUAACCUUUGCCUGCCCCGCCGCCCCUUAUGUCACUUCCCUUUGAGUUGUCAUCACUUUGUCACAGCAGCAGUUCAUAUCAGUUUUUAUCGUUUUGGUGCAGUGAUCAGUGUUUUCUUUGCUGUAGUAGUGCUGAAGCUCAGGCAUGUUUGUUUUAUGUAAAAGCAGAUACUGUAGGUGUAGCUUGUACUGAUUUUACAAAAAAAAAAGCUUUCUUCCAUCUCUUUUUAAAUGUAAACAUGAUCCAGAUUAAUUAUAUUCUACUGUCUUAAUAUUCGCUACCUAGUUUGUAAAGCUACAAAAUGUAAAUGAAAUAUGUAAAAAGAUGUUUAUGUGAGAGCGCAACGUUGACUUUGUGUGUAAGACCAGACUGAACAUACUGCAAAAUAUGAAUUAUGAACAGACUUUUUAAGCAUUUUCCUCACUGACCAGUGAAAUUGUCCCCAUUAUAAGACGUGCUGAUGUGUCCCUGCAGUAAACAUACAUCAGUUUUCCUGUUCUGGUGUUGAACUAAGCUUCUCUCAAGUAAACUACUGAAUCAAACAAA